AUGAACGCUGGCGGCGUGCCUAAUACAUGCAAGUCGAGCGAACAGACAAGGAGCUUGCUCCUUUGACGUUAGCGGCGGACGGGUGAGUAACACGUGGGUAACCUACCUAUAAGACUGGGAUAACUUCGGGAAACCGGAGCUAAUACCGGAUAAUAUUUCGAACCGCAUGGUUCGAUAGUGAAAGAUGGUUUUGCUAUCACUUAUAGAUGGACCCGCGCCGUAUUAGCUAGUUGGUAAGGUAACGGCUUACCAAGGCGACGAUACGUAGCCGACCUGAGAGGGUGAUCGGCCACACUGGAACUGAGACACGGUCCAGACUCCUACGGGAGGCAGCAGUAGGGAAUCUUCCGCAAUGGGCGAAAGCCUGACGGAGCAACGCCGCGUGAGUGAUGAAGGUCUUCGGAUCGUAAAACUCUGUUAUUAGGGAAGAACAUACGUGUAAGUAACUAUGCACGUCUUGACGGUACCUAAUCAGAAAGCCACGGCUAACUACGUGCCAGCAGCCGCGGUAAUACGUAGGUGGCAAGCGUUAUCCGGAAUUAUUGGGCGUAAAGCGCGCGUAGGCGGUUUUUUAAGUCUGAUGUGAAAGCCCACGGCUCAACCGUGGAGGGUCAUUGGAAACUGGAAAACUUGAGUGCAGAAGAGGAAAGUGGAAUUCCAUGUGUAGCGGUGAAAUGCGCAGAGAUAUGGAGGAACACCAGUGGCGAAGGCGACUUUCUGGUCUGUAACUGACGCUGAUGUGCGAAAGCGUGGGGAUCAAACAGGAUUAGAUACCCUGGUAGUCCACGCCGUAAACGAUGAGUGCUAAGUGUUAGGGGGUUUCCGCCCCUUAGUGCUGCAGCUAACGCAUUAAGCACUCCGCCUGGGGAGUACGACCGCAAGGUUGAAACUCAAAGGAAUUGACGGGGACCCGCACAAGCGGUGGAGCAUGUGGUUUAAUUCGAAGCAACGCGAAGAACCUUACCAAAUCUUGACAUCCUUUGACAACUCUAGAGAUAGAGCCUUCCCCUUCGGGGGACAAAGUGACAGGUGGUGCAUGGUUGUCGUCAGCUCGUGUCGUGAGAUGUUGGGUUAAGUCCCGCAACGAGCGCAACCCUUAAGCUUAGUUGCCAUCAUUAAGUUGGGCACUCUAAGUUGACUGCCGGUGACAAACCGGAGGAAGGUGGGGAUGACGUCAAAUCAUCAUGCCCCUUAUGAUUUGGGCUACACACGUGCUACAAUGGACAAUACAAAGGGCAGCGAAACCGCGAGGUCAAGCAAAUCCCAUAAAGUUGUUCUCAGUUCGGAUUGUAGUCUGCAACUCGACUACAUGAAGCUGGAAUCGCUAGUAAUCGUAGAUCAGCAUGCUACGGUGAAUACGUUCCCGGGUCUUGUACACACCGCCCGUCACACCACGAGAGUUUGUAACACCCGAAGCCGGUGGAGUAACCAUUUGGAGCUAGCCGU
rnacentral:rRNA from 1 species